ACACCCGGUGAUGAAUCUAGCCAACCAGCAUCUGGUAAUGAAUCAAUCCAACCAACAUCGAAGCAACCAACAACACUAAAAUCUGACCAACCAAUAUCUGCUAUUGAAUCUACGCAACCACCAUAUUCUAGUGAAUCUAACCAACCAACAUCUGGUAGUGAAUCUAACAAACCAGCAACACCAACAUCUAAGAAUGAUAACUCGAUGUCUGCUAUAAUUGGUGGAGCUGUAGGAGGAGUAAUUGUGAUAAUUGUCGUCAUUAUUAUCAUAGUAAUAUGUGUAAUACGUAAGAAGAACGGGGACAAUAUUUAUGACAGUCCAGAAGCUGUAGAGACUGAUCCUCAUCCUUACCAGAGCAUCCACAGAUAACAGACAUGGGGAGAUAACUCCCACUGAUAAACAGAAUAAUGAAUUGGUUAAUCAGGAGAAUGAUCCAUAUACCAGUAUUGAUAAUGAUAUAAUUAAACCUAGCAACGGUAACCAAGGGGUGGAAUAUCUAGAAAAUGAUCUUUACAUUAGUUCUAAUGAUGUCACUGAUGACGUGGUCGUUGAUGAUAAGCUAAAAGCAAAAUUUCCGGUUGUGGCGGAAUACGCCAAGGUUAAAAAAUCUAACACGAACCAAAUCACGAAUGGGAAAUUUAAGUUGGGACCAAUACACUGUUGUAAAUAAAGGUGAGGGGGUGGGGGGUGAUCAAGAUGAUAAAAGUAAUGAACAAUUUAAAAUAGGGCUUAGUGGAAAUAAAUACGCUGUUGUUAAUAAAGAGAGAAAGAAAAACAAGAAUGAAGCCGGGGAAGAAAUUAAAAUAGGACCUAGUGGAGAUCAAUACGCCGUGGUUAAUAAAUCGGGGAGGGAGCAGAAAUAAUUUACCCUUGGGUAGAUUGGUUAAACGAAUGCGAGCUUGUGCAUAAUGAAAACGACUAGCUAUUUUUACACCUUUGUGAAAAAAGUUUAUGAACUGUCAGCAUGUGUAUAUUGAGGUCGAGAACGUUUUUGUAUUUUUUCUAAUUUUAUAUAGAUUUUAUAUUUUAUUUUAUAUUUAGAUUACCUACAUAUAAAACCAAGUUUCUAACAUUUUA